GACGAACGCUGGCGGCGUGCUUAACACAUGCAAGUCGAACGGAAAGGCCCUGCUUUUGUGGGGUGCUCGAGUGGCGAACGGGUGAGUAACACGUGAGUAACCUGCCCUUGACUUUGGGAUAACUUCAGGAAACUGGGGCUAAUACUGGAUAGGAGCUCCUGCUGCAUGGUGGGGGUUGGAAAGUUUCGGCGGUUGGGGAUGGACUCGCGGCUUAUCAGCUUGUUGGUGGGGUAGUGGCUUACCAAGGCUUUGACGGGUCGCCGGCCUGAGAGGGUGACCGGCCACAUUGGGACUGAGAUACGGCCCAGACUCCUACGGGAGGCAGCAGUGGGGAAUAUUGCACAAUGGGCGGAAGCCUGAUGCAGCAACGCCGCGUGCGGGAUGACGGCCUUCGGGUUGUAAACCGCUUUCGCCUGUGACGAAGCGUGAGUGACGGUAAUGGGUAAAGAAGCACCGGCUAACUACGUG
rnacentral:rRNA from 1 species